rnacentral:rRNA from 1 species
GUCGAGCGGACAGAUGGGAGCUUGCUCCCUGAUGUUAGCGGCGGACGGGUGAGUAACACGUGGGUAACCUGCCUGUAAGACUGGGAUAACUCCGGGAAACCGGGGCUAAUACCGGAUGCUUGUUUGAACCGCAUGGUUCAAACAUAAAAGGUGGCUUCGGCUACCACUUACAGAUGGACCCGCGGCGCAUUAGCUAGUUGGUGAGGUAACGGCUCACCAAGGCAACGAUGCGUAGCCGACCUGAGAGGGUGAUCGGCCACACUGGGACUGAGACACGGCCCAGACUCCUACGGGAGGCAGCAGUAGGGAAUCUUCCGCAAUGGACGAAAGUCUGACGGAGCAACGCCGCGUGAGUGAUGAAGGUUUUCGGAUCGUAAAGCUCUGUUGUUAGGGAAGAACAAGUACCGUUCGAAUAGGGCGGUACCUUGACGGUACCUAACCAGAAAGCCACGGCUAACUACGUGCCAGCAGCCGCGGUAAUACGUAGGUGGCAAGCGUUGUCCGGAAUUAUUGGGCGUAAAGGGCUCGCAGGCGGUUUCUUAAGUCUGAUGUGAAAGCCCCCGGCUCAACCGGGGAGGGUCAUUGGAAACUGGGGAACUUGAGUGCAGAAGAGGAGAGUGGAAUUCCACGUGUAGCGGUGAAAUGCGUAGAGAUGUGGAGGAACACCAGUGGCGAAGGCGACUCUCUGGUCUGUAACUGACGCUGAGGAGCGAAAGCGUGGGGAGCGAACAGGAUUAGAUACCCUGGUAGUCCACGC